rnacentral:rRNA from 1 species
AUUGAACGCUGGCGGCAGGCCUAACACAUGCAAGUCGAACGAGUGGCGGACGGGUGAGUAAUGUCUGGGAAACUGCCUGAUGGAGGGGGAUAACUACUGGAAACGGUAGCUAAUACCGCAUACCAUCGGAUGUGCACAGAGGGGAGUAGCUAGUAGGUGGAGUAACGGCUCACCUAGGCCAAGAACCAUAGCUGGUCUGAGAGGAUGACCAGCCACACUGGAACUGAGACACGGUCCAGACUCCUACGGGAGGCAGCAGUGGGGAAUAUUGCACAAUGGGCGCAAGCCUGAUGCAUCCAUGCCGCGUGUAUGAAGAAGGCCGUCGGGUUGUAAAGUACUGUCAGCGGGGAGGCGUUACCCGCAGAAGAAGCACCGGCUAACUCCGUGCCAGCAGCCGCGGUAAUUC